CCCUACGGGGCGCAGCAGUGAGGAAUAUUGGUCAAUGGGCGCAAGCCUGAACCAGCCAAGUCGCGUGAGGGAUGACGGUCCUAUGGAUUGUAAACCUCUUUUGUCGGGGAGCAAGGCCCGCCACGUGUGGCGGGAAGGAGAGUACCCGAAGAAAAAGCAUCGGCUAACUACGUGCCAGCAGCCGCGGUAAUACGUAGGGGGCAAGCGUUAUCCGGAUUUACUGGGUGUAAAGGGAGCGUAGACGGCGCGGCAAGUCUGAAGUGAAAGGCAGGGGCUUAACCCCUGAACUGCUUUGGAAAAUGCCA
rnacentral:rRNA from 1 species